AUGAUUAUAAGCGCCACAUAUACAUUAUGUCGAAAAUUUAUUUUUCCCACGGUUGGCGUCCCGGCAAGUCCCUAUAUGGGUUUGGUCCGUCGUACGACCGUGGAGAUGGCGCAUGGUAAGGGGUUUGUUCCUUCGAAUGAACUAUCGAUUUGUCAGUUAGCUGAGCGGCAUCUAUAUGAGCCUAAUACUAGUGAAGAGGUCAACCAAGUGAUCAGACAGCAGGUGCUCGCACAUGCGGAUUUGACGCGCCAUCCUCGUGGUUGGAAUGUGGGGUCUACUCUUAGUGACUAUUCUUUUCAUCCACUAGCACCUUACCCUAAACCUGAUCAUGAAGCCUACACCCUAGGGACCAGGAUGGUAGCAAAAGGUCUAGAUUGGGAUGGUCACACAGUCGAGUAUGUUCCGCAACCCAAAGGCUAUGUUGAGUGGGGCAUCUCUAUAUUGAAUAACCACUCGUUUUGUUUGAAAGAAUAA
rnacentral:rRNA from 1 species